rnacentral:lncRNA from 1 species
ACACAUCAGUUGCAAAAAUAACUUUAUCGGUGCCAUUUUUUUUAUUUGCACUAAUUUUACCUGGACAAUGGGCGAGGAUCUAAAACCCAAAGGAAACAUUUCCUGCGCACAUCUACUUGAACCUCAGUGGGCCCUGGGAGACGCGACAAAGAGGUCGCAGCAAGGAAAUGAUUUCUACGCGGACGCCCGAGGAGAGUGGCAAAUCUCCCAGUUCACAGCACCCGCGACGCGACCAGAGGGCCGCGAACAGCAUCAGUUCGUUCGCUGAAAGACACCGCCGAGAUAAGAUGACGCCUGGCCAGCAAUGUACAUGUACGAGAGACGUGUCUCUCGGCAAAUCGACUCGUGAUAGAAGUGAUAUCGCGAUCGCAGCGGGGUGUCAGGAACCGAUGGAAAGAAUGACUCCUUGGGAAAAAACUAUGCCACAGCAAAUUGCGAACUGCUUCAAGUCUGAAAAGUGCAAGCCUCACCGUUAUGCCAGCCUAUCUAGUCACGAUUUUACAAGAUGGCAAGACUACUUUGCAGUGCUUUAAUGUUUGAGAGGAGGAAAGGAUUUUUGUCAAAUAAGGAGUGAUGACAAGGUCAGUCUUGCGAGAAAGUAGGCCUAAACUUCACAAAUGGAAACACGACUACUUUACUCCCAAGACAGUAAGAUAACGGCGCCCCGUCAGAGAUCACUCAACAACAGAGAGCAGAUUCCACAGAGUAGUUUUUGUUUCCACUUACCGAA